rnacentral:rRNA from 1 species
AUUGAACGCUGGCGGCAGGCCUAACACAUGCAAGUCGAGCGCGAAAGUUCUUCGGAAUGAGUAAAGCGGCGAACGGGUGAGUAAUGCAUGGGAAUCUGCCUGGUAGUGGGGGACAACGUC